AAACCAUCACUGAUCAUGGUAACCAGGAGAUCGUUAGCCGCGGUACAGCAGACAGAGCGAGGUCUCCAUCCCUGUAGUGUGAUCACGAAUGAGUUGAGUGGAAUAAUGAACCUCCAGAUGUCUAUGUACACGUGUAUGAAUAAACUGUUGUACUCGCGCGUGCGAGCUUAUCCUAUA